GAUGAACGCUAGCUACAGGCUUAACACAUGCAAGUCGAGGGGAAACGAUAUUGGAAGCUUGCUUCCGAUAGGCGUCGACCGGCGCACGGGUGAGUAACGCGUAUCCAACCUGCCCACCACUUGGGGAUAACCUUGUGAAAGUAAGACUAAUACCCAAUGAUAUCUCUAGAAGACAUCUGAAGGAGAUUAAAGAUUUAUCGGUGAUGGAUGGGGAUGCGUCUGAUUAGCUUGUUGGCGGGGUAACGGCCCACCAAGGCGACGAUCAGUAGGGGUUCUGAGAGGAAGGUCCCCCACAUUGGAACUGAGACACGGGCCAAACUCCUACGGGAGGCAGCAGUGAGGAAUAUUGGUCAAUGGACGAGAGUCUGAACCAGCCAAGUAGCGUGCAGGAUGACGGCCCUAUGGGUUGUAAACUGCUUUUAUAAGGGAAUAAAGUGAGCCUCGUGAGGCUUUUUGCAUGUACCUUAUGAAUAAGGACCGGCUAAUUCCGUGCCAGCCGCCGCGGUAA
rnacentral:rRNA from 1 species